UUAUGGCUAUACCAUCUUGAAAACACCCGUUCUCGAACGAUCACCGAAGUUAAGCAAAGUUGAGAUGGUCAGCAACUUUAUGAGUGAACGUUUGGAAAUACCAGGUGCUGCAAG